UAAGAAGCACUAUGGCGCCUGGAACUGGAAAGCCUAGUUUCGAAAGCCUCAGUCUAGAAGCGUCUUCCCCUCAAAUAGUCCUCGAAAAGGAAGCUCAGUGCCUAUCUCGAAAGCCCAAGAGCUCAGAGGCCAGGGAUAACUACAGAAAGUACACUUGUUGAAGGAAUCAUCAGAGGCUUGAACUUUAAGCAGAGAGAGACUAGGCCGGGAACUCGAAAGCCUAAUGGCCCUAUCACCUAGAAACUAGAAAGCCACAGAACGACUAUAUGCUCCAAAGCCAGGGAGGCUAAAAGGCCUUCAAAGGGAAGGAACCUAAAGUCUAUUACCAACCCUCUGUAGAUGGCUUGGUGCUGCUAUCACACAAAGGUUUUGUGUGAAGCAACUCUUCCUUACCCUUUUUUUUUGGGUAAAUCAGGAAUAAAGUACGAAUAAUAUAUCUAUCUGAUUCGUACUACAACCCGUUUUUUCAUUAAUAAGGAAGAAACAAAAAACAGCUCAUUACUUUCCAUAGGGCAAUUGUGCCAAAUCAUGAGUUAAAGCAAUGGAAAGAAAGUCCGGCGGGCGAGAGCGCCAAACAGUAGCCUCCGACCGAGAUGUAGCCCACUUAGCAAGUGCAUCGGCUACCAUGUUAGCCUCACGAUAUAUGUGGGAGAUGAACCACCGUAGGGUAGAGAGUUUGUAACGACAAUUAACAGCAACCGUACGUAACGUCCAAGGGGAUCGGCAACGAUCAUGAAUAACAUUCACCAGCAAGGCUUAGUCGCUUUCUACUUGAAGAGGGAAGCACUCCAACUGAAUGCUUAGAUUAACACCUUCUUAAAGAGCAAAACAUUCUGC
rnacentral:lncRNA from 1 species